rnacentral:rRNA from 1 species
AUUACGAGCCCAAGCUUAAAACCCAAAGGACUUGACGGUGCCCCACCCACCUAGAGGAGCCUGUUCUAUAAUCGAUUUUCCCCGAUACACCUCACCACUUCUAGCCUUUCAGCCUGUAUACCUCCGUCGUAAGCUUACCAUAUGAACGUUGAACUAGUGAGCUAAAAGAUUUACCAUCAACACGUCAGGUCAAGGUGCAGCCCACGAAGUGGCAAGCAAUGGGCUACAGUUUCUAACUUAGAACAGACGAAAGACUACAUGAAACACAGUCAUGAAGGCGGAUUUAGUAGUAAAAAGAAAAUAGAGUGUUCUUUUUAAUUAGGCGCUGGGACGCGUACACACCGCCCGUCACCCUCUUCAAACGCAACCAUUAUGUUAAUAACACCAAACUGCACUACAGAAGAGGUAAGUCGUAACACGGUAAGCGUACUGGAAAGUGCGCUUGGAUAA